rnacentral:rRNA from 1 species
UACGUAGGGUGCGAGCGUUGUCCGGAAUUAUUGGGCGUAAAGAGCUCGUAGGUGGUCUGUCGCGUCUGCUGUGAAAACCCGAGGCUCAACCUCGGGCUUGCAGUGGGUACGGGCAGACUAGAGUGCGGUAGGGGAGAAUGGAAUUCCUGGUGUAGCGGUGGAAUGCGCAGAUAUCAGGAGGAACACCAAUGGCGAAGGCAGUUCUCUGGGCCGUAACUGACGCUGAGGCGCGAAAGCUAGGGGAG